GAGCUCUUACUCGAGUCCUUCAUUCAUUAACUCAUUAUCAUUAGUUCAACCACUACAUGUGGAGUAAAUGUAAAGUCAAGUCAGAUCCCACUCACAGCUGCCCCCUUGUGGUCAGCAGAAAACACUCACUCAGUGAAACAGCACAGACAACAUGAUAACAGCAGCUAAGCAGGUUGGGGGGGAAUUUGCAGGAAGUCGAAGCGCAUUUCGCAGGCAGGAGUGUGUGUUACCCUACAAGCCAAAAGGGAACCACGACGGGGAGUACAGCCGAGGUCCUCAAAAGUUGACAUUUGUGGUUUUGAAGGGUUAUCUUUAAAAUGAGUGUGGUGCUCCGACCAGCAGGGGGCGCUGUCAUUUAGUGAUUCUCUGCUUCUCCGUUACGGACUUCCUCAUAACUGCAGAGGACGUAAAUACACCGGCACGCUGUUGCCCUGCCUCGUCUUUAUUCUCCUGAAUUUCAGACGCUGUGGCGCGCACGUUUCCUCCCCUGUGAAAGUAUGUACGGUUAGUAAAAGCCUGUGUUUACUGGUUAGUUUAGUUUACUGUUUGGUCCCCCGUGUUAACCUAGCAUGUAAUGGUUGCAGUGACGUGCGGUGAGGUUCAUGGCUGGUGCGGCACUGACUUCAUCACAGUCAGAUUUACAAACAUGUAAACCCAACAGAGUAGCUUAUUCACCCUUUGACUGGCAGCAUUUACCGGGUUAUGUUUAACAUCUCAUAUCGGCACUCUGAAGCAACUCCUGCUUCGAUUGAAAGUCCAGUUUAGAAAACUGCUUGAGUUUAGAUAUGUAAUCCUCCAUUUUGAAAUUAAGGCCAGACGACAGGAAAAAAAUAAACGGAUGGCUGCACUUGACUUGUUAACUCUAGAUUGUAGCUUGCUGUCACUUAUUCUGCAGUCGAUUAGUCGCAAGAAGAAUCCCUGGGAUCACGAGUGCCCCCUACCGUGAGGCAGGAGAACUGCGUGCCUUUUCACGGCCGUUUAAUGAUUGCUCAGUACAAGACACACGUUACACACAUACAGUUGUUGACAAAACACUGUACAUUAUAUACACUAUGGACAUUUAGUUCAUAUAGCAAAAGUGUUUGAACAUUUUAAUAGCGACAUACAGAGAGACAGCGAUACGGCCUCACUGCCUAGCAUGCCAGCACAGUUAGCCGAGUCAUUGCGCAAUCCGCGGUGAGGCUCCCCGCACGUCUCUUCUCAGUAUGUGAACGGUAACGUGACAACUCAGCGAUUUUUAAUAAUAAUAAAAAAAAGAAUCAAAACUGGUGACGUUAAAAGGAAAAUAACGUAAUACUACAAAUCACUGGAUAAAUAUAACCAUUUAAUUUAUUUUUUCAUUUUCCAUUUUUUUCUUUCCCUGAUGACAGGUGAGGCACGGCCUCUCCUGCCUCACCUGCCUGCACGUCACUGAACGGUUGGGUGCUCGGUUAAUGUUGAGAUAUUUGAAGUAACGGUGUUAUGAGUCCGUUAAAUUGAAUUCUGAGCACCCUAUGCAGCUAAGUGCUAAACUGUUACCGGUAAUGAAAGUUUGUAAAUGCAUUCAAACCAAUUUAAUGGAUAUUUAUACCAUGAAUUCUGUACUUCGUAUUGAUGUAAACAUGUAUUCUGUAUAUGGAGACUCAGUUUCUUAUGGGUAUUUGUUUGACAUGGAAAUUGAAAUACAUGUUACAUGACAUUGAUCAUAAAACACUGUCUGUAGAUUCUGGAAGGGAAAAUGUGCCUAUUCAGGGAAAUAAACUAAACUAAAUAAAUUUAAUAAACUUAACUGCAGAGAAUGCAAAUACAUCAGUA